rnacentral:tRNA from 1 species
UUAAUAGAAGCCAAAAAGAGGCUAUUCACUGUUAAUGAAUCAAUUGAGUUUUCCUAUUAAA